UAUCGGAGGGAUCUAGGAUUUCAAAACUUAUUGGGGGGAAGAGAGGGCAAUUUUCGGAUGAGGGAAGGCCCAAAUUCAAAAUUUGAAAACCAAAACUUUCACUAAUUCAGGCCAGCACCUUUUCCUGCGAAAUCGCUCCUAUUCCAAAAGGGGAAGGGAGAAGGGACGCUUAGGAUGUAUCGUGCGUCCUUGAAAUACCACGCGGCACCAUCUCCCACCUGCAAGGAUGAGCAGACUCUACUGCUUGGGUAGAAAUUUGCCAGCCACUGCUCCGCUGUACGAACCGAAAGGAGAAGAAGAUGCUGGACGGUAGUUGAUCACGUGCCAUUAGCUCUGCUGCUUCACGCUUGAAGGAGAUGAAGAAGCACACAGGAAAGGUCGAGUACUGGAAUUUGGGGCUGCUGCGAGUGGAGUUGGGAACGUUUCUGGGAGUGCUUUCAUUAUUCCAGAUUCUUCAUUGUAAAUGGGAAAUUAGGUUGAACGGGUUGCCUGAUUUGGGACGGACUGGACGGGUGAA
rnacentral:misc_RNA from 1 species